AGAGUUUGAUCAUGGCUCAGGACGAACGCUGGCGGCGUGCUUAACACAUGCAAGUCGAGCGGUAAGGCCCUUCGGGGUACACGAGCGGCGAACGGGUGAGUAACACGUGAGCAAUCUGCCCUUCUCUUUGGAAUAACCAUUGGAAACGAUGGCUAAUGCCGAAUAUGAACCCCCUUCGCAUGUUGGGGGUUGGAAAGCUCCGGCGGAGAAGGAUGAGCUCGCGGCCUAUCAGCUUGUUGGUGAGGUAAUGGCUCACCAAGGCAUUGACGGGUAGCCGGCCUGAGAGGGUGACCGGCCACACUGGGACUGAGACACGGCCCAGACUCCUACGGGAGGCAGCAGUGGGGAAUAUUGGACAAUGGGCGAAAGCCUGAUCCAGCAACGCCGCGUGAGGGAUGACGGCCUUCGGGUUGUAAACCUCUUUCAGCAGGGACGAAGCGAGAGUGACGGUACCUGCAGAAGAAGGACCGGCCAACUACGUGCCAGCAGCCGCGGUAAUACGUAGGGUCCGAGCGUUGUCCGGAAUUAUUGGGCGUAAAGGGCUCGUAGGCGGUUUGUCGCGUCGGGAGUGAAAACUCAGGGCUCAACCCUGAGCGUGCUUCCGAUACGGGCAGACUAGAGGUAUGCAGGGGAGAACGGAAUUCCUGGUGUAGCGGUGGAAUGCGCAGAUAUCAGGAGGAACACCGGUGGCGAAGGCGGUUCUCUGGGCAUUACCUGACGCUGAGGAGCGAAAGCAUGGGGAGCGAACAGGAUUAGAUACCCUGGUAGUCC
rnacentral:rRNA from 1 species